rnacentral:rRNA from 1 species
AACGUAGGAGGCGAGCGUUAUCCGGAUUUACUGGGCGUAAAGCGCGUGUAGGCGGUUUCAUAAGUCGUGCGUGAAAGCUCCCUGGCUCAACCGGGAGAGGUCGUGCGAUACUGCGAAACUUGAGCCAGACAGAGGCAAGUAGAAUUCCGGGUGUAGUGGUGAAAUGCGUAGAUAUCCGGAGGAAUACCAGUGGCGAAGGCGACUUGCUGGGUCUGUACUGACGCUCAGACGCGAAAGCAUGGGGAGCGAACGGG